UGCGUAGGCGGGCCUGUAAGUGCUUUGUGAAAUCCCAUGGCUCAACCAUGGAAUGGCUUGGCAUACUGCAGGCCUCGAGGUCGGUAGGGGUUGCCGGAACUCUAGGUGGAGCGGUGAAAUGCGUAGAUAUCUAGAGGAACGCCGAAGGUGAAGACAGGCAACUGGGCCGAUUCUGACGCUGAGGCACGAAAGCGUGGGGAGCAAACGGGAUUAGAUACCCCGGUAGUCCACGCCCUAAACGAUGUAGACUGGAUCGCGGAGGCUCUGACGCCGUCGUGGUCGAAGCAAAAGUGCUAAGUCUACCGCCUGGGGAGUACGGUCGCAAGGCUAAA
rnacentral:rRNA from 1 species